UUGGCAGACCAGACAAUCGCCGUUCUUUUUUAGAAGGGAGGAAAGUCCGGACUACAUAGGGCGACGUGCCAGCUAACGGCUGGGCAGAGUAAUCUGACGACCAGUGCAACAGAGAAUAGACCGCCUGCAUUUGUAGGUAAGGGUGAAACGGUGGUGUAAGAGACCACCGCAUGACUGGUAACAGUUCAUGGCAAGGUAAACUCCACGUGUAGCAAGACCAAAUAGGUGUCCCAUAAGUUGCCCGCUUAGGACACGGGUAGGUUGCUUGAACAUAUCAGCGAUGAUGUGUCUAGAUGAAUGAUUGUCCACGACAGAAUCCGGCUUAUCGGUUUGCCAUUUUC
rnacentral:RNase_P_RNA from 1 species